rnacentral:rRNA from 1 species
AAGUGGAGCAAUCCAUGAGUAAAGUGGCGACCGGGUGAGUAACACGUGACUAACCUACCCUCGAGUGGGGAAUAACCUCGGGAAACCGGGGCUAAUACCGCAUAAUGUCUUCGGACCAAAGGAGCAAUUCGCUGGAGGAGGGGGUCGCGGCCGAUUAGCUAGUUGGCGGGGUAACGGCCCACCAAGGCAAUGAUCGGUAGCCGGCCUGAGAGGGCGCACGGCCACACUGGAACUGAAACACGGUCCAGACUCCUACGGGAGGCAGCAGUGGGGAAUUUUGCGCAAUGGGGGAAACCCUGACGCAGCAACGCCGCGUGGAGGAUGAAGCCCUUUGGG